rnacentral:rRNA from 1 species
UACGUAGGGUGCGAGCGUUAAUCGGAAUUACUGGGCGUAAAGUGUGCGCAGGCGGCCGCGCAAGUCGAGUGUGAAAGCCCCCGGGCUUAACUUGGGAAUUGCGCUCGAAACUACGUGGCUGGAGUGUGGCAGAGGAAGGUGGAAUUCCACGUGUAGCGGUGAAAUGCGUAGAGAUGUGGAGGAACACCAAUGGCGAAGGCAGCCUUCUGGGCCAACACUGACGCUCAUGCACGAAAGCGUGGGGAGCAAACAGG